AAGAAAAUUGGCUCCUCCACUCAAAGAGGAAGUCAAAAUUCAGGGGUUUUCAUUAAGUUAACAUCCAUUAAUGAAAAUUUUAAAAAUCUCAAUCUAAUUUGUUAGUAAUUUUAAUUAAUCCUCUGCCUCAAUUUCCUAUGGCUGAUGAUUCUGAUUCUUCUCCUCUCGUCCCUCCCUCUCCGAUCACCGACCCCAACGAGAUCGACCUCGAGGCCGGCCCUGGCGACCAAAUUCAGUGUCGAAUUUGCCUUGAAACCGACGGUAGGGAUUUUAUUGCACCAUGCAAAUGCAAAGGAACAUCAAAGUAUGUGCAUCGGGAAUGCUUGGACCAUUGGCGGGCUGUUAGGGAAGGGUUUGCAUUUGCUCAUUGCACAACCUGCAAGGCCCCUUACCAUUUGAGAGUUCAUGUUGCUGCUGAUAGGAAAUGGCGAACUCUGAAAUUUCGGUUCUUUGUGACUAGAGACAUAGUGUUUAUAUUUCUGGCCGUUCAGCUUGUUAUUGCUUCACUUGCAUAUUUGGUGUAUUUAAUUGAUAGUUAUCAGCAUUCCUGGCUUCGACAUGCAUGGGGCUUGGAUAAUGAGCUUAGUUUCUAUUACAUAUGUGG
rnacentral:misc_RNA from 1 species